rnacentral:rRNA from 1 species
AUGGAGAUAGCAUCCCGUGCACCGGCUGCGAGUGCGACGACGGGUUUGGUUCACGAGGUUAUUGACAUCUCUGAUGAUGAAAGCAAUGAUGAAAUUGAUAUGGAAGAAUGGUCUGAUGAUCCUGAGCACGCUAAGUUGUCUGAGACAGACAGAAAGCUGAGGGAGCAAGAGCUGCAAGAUCCAGAUGUCACGAAAAUGUAUCAAGAAAUGUAUGAUAAAAAUGAUGAUGUUCAGGUUGAUAAAAGUGCGAAUGAGAAUUGCCGUCGCUGGCAGGCAAAUAUCGAAGGACGGGCGUCAUAG